rnacentral:rRNA from 1 species
UACAGAGGGUGCAAGCGUUAAUCGGAAUUACUGGGCGUAAAGCGUGCGUAGACGGUCAUGUAAGUCGGGUGUGAAAGCCCCGGGCUCAACCUGGGAAUUGCAUUCGAGACUGCAUGGCUAGGGUGCGGAAGAGGGAAGCGGAAUUUCCGGUGUAGCGGUGAAAUGCGUAGAUAUCGGAAGGAACACCAGUGGCGAAAAGCGGCUUCCUGGUCCAGCACCGACGUCAGGCACGAAAGCGUGGGGAGCAAACAGG